CCUGGCUCAGGAUAAGUCGUAACAAGGUAGCCGUAAAUCCCGCACUAGUGAUUAGAGUUUGAUCCUGGCUCAGAUUGAACGCUGGCGGCAGGCUUAACACAUGCAAGUCGAGCGGAGAUGAGUGUGUCUUGCACCUUAUCUUAGCGGCGGACGGGGUGCAGUAAUGCAUUAGGAAUCUGCCGUAUUAUGUGGGUGGACAACACUUCCGAAAGGAAUGCUAAUACCGCAUACGUCCUACGGGAGAAAGCAGGGGAUCUUCGGACCUUGCGCUAAUAGAUGAGCCUAAGUCGGAUUAGCUAGUUGGUGGGGUAAAGGCCUACCAAGGCGACGAUCUGUAGCGGGUCUGAGAGGAUGAUCCGCCACACUGGGACUGAGACACGGCCCAGACUCCUACGGGAGGCAGCAGUGGGGAAUAUUGGACAAUGGGGGGAACCCUGAUCCAGCCAUGCCGCGUGUGUGAAGAAGGCCUUAUGGUUGUAAAGCACUUUAAGCGAGGAGGAGGCUACUGAGACUAAUACUCUUGGAUAGUGGACGUUACUCGCAGAAUAAGCACCGGCUAACUCUGUGCCAGCAGCCGCGGUAAUACAGAGGGUGCGAGCGUUAAUCGGAUUUACUGGGCGUAAAGCGUGCGUAGGCGGCUUUUUAAGUCGGAUGUGAAAUCCCCGAGCUUAACUUGGGAAUUGCAUUCGAUACUGGGAAGCUAGAGUAUGGGAGAGGAUGGUAGAAUUCCAGGUGUAGCGGUGAAAUACGUAGAGAUCUGGAGGAAUACCGAUGGCGAAGGCAGCCAUCUGGCCUAUACUACGCUAGACGAGCG
rnacentral:rRNA from 1 species